CCUACGGGAGGCAGCAGUAGGGAAUAUUGCUCAAUGGGGGAAACCCUGAAGCAGCAACGCCGCGUGGAGGAUGAAGGUUUUCGGAUUGUAAACUCCUUUUGUUAGAGAAGAUAAUGACGGUAUCUAAGGAAUAAGCACCGGCUAACUCCGUGCCAGCAGCCGCGGUAAUACGGAGGGUGCAAGCGUUACUCGGAAUAACUGGGCGUAAAGAGCGCGUAGGCGGGAUAGCAAGUCAGAUGUGAAAUCCUAUGGCUUAACCAUAGAACUGCAUUUGAAACUGGUAUUCUAGAGUAUGGGAGAGGUAGGUGGAAUUCUUGGUGUAGGGGUAAAAUGCGUAGAUAUCAAGAGGAAUACUGAUUGCGAAGGCGACCUGCUAGAACAUAACUGACGCUGAUGCGCGAAAGCGUGGGGAGCAAACAGGAUUAGAUACCCCAGUAGUC
rnacentral:rRNA from 1 species